AGGACCUCACUUAACAGCUUAAGC
rnacentral:miRNA from 1 species